rnacentral:rRNA from 1 species
CACGGAGUUAGCCGAUCCUUAUUCCUUCGGUACAUUCAGCUAUUUACACGUAAAUAGGUUUAUUCCCGAAUAAAAGCAGUUUACAACCCAGAGGGCCGUCUUCCUGCACGCGGCAUGGCUGGUUCAGAGUUCCCUCCAUUGACCAAUAUUCCUUACUGCUGCCUCCCGUAGGAGUCUGGUCCGUGUCUCAGUACCAGUGUGGGGGGCCAUCCUCUCAGAUCCCCUAGUCAUCGUCGCCUUGGUGGGCCGUUACCCCGCCAACUAGCUAAUGACACGCAUGCCCAUCUUAUUCCUAUAAAUAUUUGAUCAUUGUCCAAUGCUGAACUGUGAUUUUAUGCGGUCUUAAUCCGAAUUUCUUCGGGCUAUCCCCCUGAAUAAGGUAGGUUGCAUACGCGUUACGCACCCGUGCGCCACUUUCAUAUCCAGCAAGCUGGAUAAUAUCGUUCGACUUGCAUGUAUUAGGCCUGCCGCUAGCGUUCAUCCUGAGCCAGGAUCAAAA